UAUGAUUAAUAUUAAAUGGCUGCAGUAAAUUAACUGUACAAAGGUAGCAUAAUAAUUAGUUUUUUAAUUGAAAACUAGAAUGAAUGGUUUGAUGAGAUAUAGAUUUUAUUAUAAUAAUGAAUAUAAUUUUAUUUUUUAGUGAGAAAGCUGAAGUAUUUUUAUUAGACGAGAAGACCCUAUAGAGUUUAAUAUUUAUUUUAAUAUUUAAAAUUAGAAUUUAGGUUAUAUAUUUAAUUUAAAUUAUUUUAUUGGGGUGAUAGUAAAAUUAGAUUAAUUUUUAUAUUAAUUAUACAUUUAUUUAUGAAUAAUUGAUCCAUUAUUAUUGAUUAUUAAAUUUAAUUACCUUAGGGAUAACAGCAUAAUUUAUUUGGAAAGUUCAUAUUAAUAAAUAAGUUUAUGACCUCGAUGUUGGGUUAAGAUAAAUUUUAGGAGUAGAAAUUUAAAUAUUAAGUCUGUUCGACUUAUAAAAUCUUACAUGAUCUGAGCUCA
rnacentral:rRNA from 1 species